UGGCAAGUCGUCCAAAGGCGAAAGCAGUCAUCAAGGGCAUACCCGUUGAUCAAGAGCGAAAGUUAAGGGCUCGAAGACGAUCAGAUACCGUCGUAGUCUUAACUAUAAAUGAUACUGACCAGGGAUAGGACUCUGUCCUUCUCGACUUCUCCUGGACCUUAGAGAAAUCAAAGUCUUUGAGUUCUGGGGGGAGUAUGGUCGCAAGGCUGAAACUUAAAGGAAUUGACGGAAGGGCACACAAAGAGUGGAACCUGCGGCUUAAUUUGACUCAACACGGGAAAACUCACCAGGUCCGGAUACGCGUAUGAAAGACAAGCUGAAAGACUUUUCUCAAUGACGUAAGUGGUGGUGCAUGGUCGUUCUUAGUUCGUGGAUUGAUUUGUCUGGUUUAUUCCGAUAACGAGCGAGACCCCAACGUUCCUAAUAGGAGCACCAGCCCGGCUCGACCGCUCCGGCGGACUUGCUAGCAGGUGUCUCUCUAGCUUCUUAGACGUAUCAGAGCCGAUAAGGUUCUUGAAAUGGGUUAAUAACAGGUCAGUCAUGCCCUUAGAUGUUCUGGGCCGCACGCGCGUUACAAUGGUAGCCAUCAGAAAGUGCCUGCAAAGGGUGUCUCCGUGGCCGAAAGGCUGCGGUAACCCAUAGUCGCUCCCUUGACUGGGCCAGACUAUUGCAAUUAUUGGUCUCAAACGAGGAAUUUUUAGUAUACGCAGGUCAUUAACCUGCGCGGAAUGCGUCCCUGCCCUUUGUACACACC
rnacentral:rRNA from 1 species